rnacentral:rRNA from 1 species
GUCCACGCCGUAAACGAUGUAUGUUUGUCGCUGGGGAGUUUACUCUUCGGUGACGGAGCUAACGCGUUAAGCAUACCGCCUGGGAAGUACGGUCGCAAGAUUAAAACUCAAAGGAAUUGACGGGGACCCGCACAAGCGGUGGAGUAUGUGGUUUAAUUCGUCGCAACGCGAAGAACCUUACCAGGCCUUGACAUGCCCUCUAUGGGCUCCAGAGACGGAGCUCUUCACUUCGGGUGGGAGGGACACAGGUGCUGCAUGGCUGUCGU